rnacentral:rRNA from 1 species
UACGUAGGGUGCAAGCGUUAAUCGGAAUUACUGGGCGUAAAGCGUGCGCAGGCGGUUAUGUAAGACAGUUGUGAAAUCCCCGGGCUCAACCUGGGAACUGCAUCUGUGACUGCAUAGCUAGAGUACGGUAGAGGGGGAUGGAAUUCCGCGUGUAGCAGUGAAAUGCGUAGAUAUGCGGAGGAACACCGAUGGCGAAGGCAAUCCCCUGGACCUGUACUGACGCUCAUGCACGAAAGCGUGGGGAGCAAACCGG